rnacentral:rRNA from 1 species
GUGGGGAAUAUUGCACAAUGGGCGAAAGCCUGAUGCAGCGACGCCGCGUGAGGGAUGACGGCCUUCGGGUUGUAAACCUCUUUCAGUAGGGAAGAAGCGAAAGUGACGGUACCUGCAGAAGAAGCGCCGGCUAACUACGUGCCAGCAGCCGCGGUAAUACGUAGGGCGCAAGCGUUAUCCGGAAUUAUUGGGCGUAAAGAGCUCGUAGGCGGUUUGUCGCGUCUGCCGUGAAAGUCCGGGGCUCAACUCCGGAUCUGCGGUGGGUACGGGCAGACUAGAGUGAUGUAGGGGAGACUGGAAUUCCUGGUGUAGCGGUGAAAUGCGCAGAUAUCAGGAGGAACACCGAUGGCGAAGGCAGGUCUCUGGGCAUUAACUGACGCUGAGGAGCGAAAGCAUGGGGAGCGAACAGGAUUAGAAACCCUAGUAGUCC